CAGCCGCCGCGGUAAUACAGAGGAUGCAAGCGUUAUCCAGAAUGAUUGGGCGUAAAGCGUCUGUAGGUGGCUUUUCAAGUCCGCCAUCAAAUCCCAGGGCUCAACCCUGGAUAGGCGGUGGACACUACCAAGCUGGGGUACGGUAGGGGCAAAGGGAAUUUCCGGUGGAGCGGUGAAAUGCGUUGAGAUCGGAAAGAACACCAACGGCGAAAGAACUCUGCUGGGCCGACACUGACACUGACAGACGAAAGCUAGGGGAGCAAAUGGGAUUAGAUACCCCAGUAGUCCCUGUCUCUUAUAC
rnacentral:rRNA from 1 species